rnacentral:rRNA from 1 species
GCUUAACCGGAGAAGUGCAUCGGAAACUGGGAGACUUGAGUGCAGAAGAGGACAGUGGAACUCCAUGUGUAGCGGUGGAAUGCGUAGAUAUAUGGAAGAACACCAGUGGCGAAGGCGGCUGUCUAGUCUGUAACUGACGCUGAGGCUCGAAAGCAUGGGUAGCGAACAGGAUUAGAUACCCUGGUAGUCCAUGCUGUAAACGAUGAGUGCUAAGUGUUGGAGGGUUUCCGCCCUUCAGUGCUGCAGCUAACGCAUUAAGCACUCCGCCUGGGGAGUACGACCGCAAGGUUGAAACUCAAAGGAAUUGACGGGGGCCCGCACAAGCGGUGGAGCAUGUGGUUUAAUUCGAAGCUACGCGAAGAACCUUACCAGGUCUUGACAUCUUCUGCCAAUCUUAGAGAUAAGACGUUCCCUUCGGGGACAGAAUGACAGGUGGUGCAUGGUUGUCGUCAGCUCGUGUCGUGAGAUGUUGGGUUAAGUCCCGCAACGAGCGCAACCCUUAUUAUCAGUUGCCAGCAUUCAGUUGGGCACUCUGGAGAGACUGCCGGUGACAAACCGGAGGAAGGUGGGGAUGACGUCAAAUCAUCAUGCCCCUUAUGACCUGGGCUACACACGUGCUACAAUGGACGGUACAACG